rnacentral:lncRNA from 1 species
GCGGACAUCGCCGCCGUCGACGCCUCCGCGGCCGUCGACGCCUCCUCCGUGGCCGCUACUGCCGCCGUUGCGCACGGACAUCUCCGCCCUCGACGCCCCGCGGCCCUCGACGCCCCCGCGGCCCUCUCCGCGACCUCCGUGGCCGCUGCUGCCGUCGCUGCGCUCUCCCUUGCCGACCCCGGGCGGCGGCGAGAGAGAGAGGGGGGCUAAGAUAGAGAGGAGAAGGGAAGAGAGAGAGAGAGUAUGGAGAGGAGGAAAGAGAUAGAAACAGGGAGCCAGCUGGAUGAGAGAAAAGAGAGAGGAUUAGAGAGAGAGAGAGAGAGGGGGG